AAUGAACGUUGGCGGCGUGGAUUAGGCAUGCAAGUCGAGCGAGAACCCCGCAAGGGGGGACAGCGGCGAAAGGGACAGUAAUGUGUAGAUUAUCUGCCCUCAGGUCCGGGAUAGCUGCGGGAAACUGCAGGUAAUACCGGAUAACAUCUCCGGAUCAAAGGUGUGAUUCCGCCUGAGGAUGAGUCUGCAUCCUAUUAGCUAGUUGGUGGGGUAAUGGCCUACCAAGUCAUUGAUGGGUAGCAGGUGUGAGAGCACGACCUGCGUCAUUGGGACUGAGACACUGCCCAGACACCGACGGGUGGCUGCAGUCGAGAAUCUUCGGCAAUGGGCGCAAGCCUGACCGAGCGACGCCGCGGGUGGGAUGAAGGCCUUCGGGUUGUAAACCACUGUCAGAGGGGAUGAAAUGCAGGUGGGUUCUCCCAUCUGUUUGACAUAGCCUCAGAGGAAGGACGGGCUAAGUUCGUG
rnacentral:rRNA from 1 species